UAAUGGGCUUAGGUUUGUACUGUAUUUUCGGCCCAUAAUCCUAAUCUGAUAAGGCGGAAAAGUGUAUCCUUCUCUCCUCUGCCUGCGACGGCUAUGGUGACGCUAGAGUUUCUUCACCGUUAUUGAAGUAGUUUUCGUUAUGGUUUCUUGGUGUUUAAUCCCAAAUCUGAUGCCCACUAUAUUUAUACCCCCUCGAGUUUGCGUCGUUGAAGCUCUGUCGAUUUGGGUGUAAAUAUGUUCGUAUUUCUCUUCUAGAAAUUAUCCUCUCCUCAUCACUCUUCUCUUAUCUCUUUAGAGUAUACUAAUUCACUGUUUAAUGGCUUCCUCGAGGGUGGUCUUCUCCAAUUUGAAGUCCGGCCCACAGAAUAGAAAGCAUAAACUUUACCAGAUCCAAACUGUAAAACGGCUGCACAACGAGUGGAUAGAGAAUACAGAUCGAUGGGCCACUGGAUUUCUGGAAAUAUUUGAAGAAGGUUUCAUAAGAAGGGGACUGCAAUCAGAGGGGGUAUUCAAGAGAGGUAAUCAGAAAAUUCCCAGAAACAAACUGGAGAAUGGGAUAAGUAUGAAGAUGAACGACACUAUGCAAGGAUAAAUAUGUUGAAGAAGAGGAAGAGAAAACUGUUAAGACGGAUGCAAAAGACAACAAGAUCAUUUCACUCAUGACAUGGAAAGGAAGUGAAAAAGGCAUUGUGCAUGAUAACGAUGAUGCAAUAAGUCGAGAAAAUCACAAGGUCUUGAAGAACAAAAUAGGAGGUCAACCUCUAUUCAUAUGUCACGGUUAGAUCAAGUGGGGAUGACCUAGACGCCAUGGCUGAGUCAUUGCCCAGGGUUAACUAGAAGGGUGGUCGGGUCAGUUACAUGAUCAAGCCAAGGUUCAUGAGCUUCAAGCCAUGUUUGCAGGGGAAGAAACAUAUAUAACCCACUACUCUACAAUUCUUGGUGCUUAGUUUAGUUGUUUCAAGGAAGCCAAUAGGCUUCUCAAGCAUUAAAAAGUGAUCCUUGAGUGUUUGUUUUAAGGAAGCAUAUAAGAGAAGUGUAGAACAGUUGGUGAAGCAAUAGAAUGGGUUUAGGUCUACAAGAGGAGGAGAUUCGCAUAUGGGCUGCUCGGGUUGUAAAAUUUCCAGUGGAGGAGGAAUGUGAGGUUUUGGAUACAUGAGCAACACAGAGGAAUUGGUUAUAGCUUGGAGACUUGACAUAUAUAUAUAUCUACAUUUAUAGACAUGUGAAUAUUGUGGAGUGACUUUUCUACAGAAGUUUAUUAGAUUCCUAUAAUUUUCACAUUGAGCUUCUGUGCUUUUUGUUUAGUCUUUGUCCCAAUUAGUAAUUUGUUAUCAGUCCUUUUUUUCUUUGCUGUAAAGUGACAGACAAUAUGGAACCAAAACAAGAAAGAAAGAGAUUUGUGUCCCUUUUGAAUAUAUAAACACUUUGUAAUUUCAA